GGGAAGAGCCCAUCGCCAAAUUUUGGGGCCCCACAGGCAGGGUCGCGUCGGGGACUUGUGGCGUUUGGGAGAGACGCGUCCUUGCUGCGAUCGGAGCCGUAGGUCCUCCUGACCGGGGCCAAUACCCAUGGAAGGGUGCUAAGGCCCGUAUCGACUCCGAUUCCGCUUGGACGUCCCCUCCCUAGAUUCGGGUUGCUUGGGAGUGCAGCCCUAAUCGGGUGGUAGACUCCACCUAAGGCUAAGUACAGCCGCGAGACCGAUAGCGAACAAGUACCGUGAGGGAAAGUUGCAAAGAACUUUGAAGAGAGAGUUCAAGAGUACGUGAAACCGCCUAGAGGCAAACGGGUGGGCCCUCGAAGCCCAGGCGGGACGGAAUCAGCUUGGUGGUCGUCGACGAAGGAUGCCGGGUGCGGAUCCCUACAGGGACUCGCUCGGCGUUCGUAUCGUUCGAUCCCUGGUGCAUUUCCGCUCCCGUCCGCUUUCUCGUCAAAAGGGAAAGUUGGGUCGCCGCGACCGUCGGUGUUUGCUGGCGUCCAGCCGAGCGUCAAGUCGGCGCCGGCGUCGUCUCUUCGGGGAUGGCGUCGGCGUUUUGCAGGACGAUUCGGUCUCCGUUGGGCGCACGGCAUUUCCGGCGUGUGGUAGAAACGUUUGUGCGCGCCCCCGUUCAUCGGGCGAGCCCGUUCGACGGUCGACCAGCCUUUCCGCAGUCUCACUCGUCCAAAGCGAGGUGGCAGCGGAGCUGUCGGCCGUCUCGCGAGGAUUCUCGCACGCAAGGGGCGCGUCGUUCGGCGGCGCAGUAGGUCGGUAGCCCACCCGCCCCGUCUUGAAGCACGGACCAAGGAGUCUGACAUGUGCGCAAGCCGUCGCGCAACUGAAGCGCCGAAGGCACAGUGAAAGCAUUGGUCGGCGUUAUUCGCCGGCCGUAGUUGGGAUCCCCGGAGCCUCCGUCGCUCGCAGGGGCGCACCAACCGUCCGCCUACUCAGUCUUGUUCUGUGUGGCGGAACGUGAGCGGACACGUCGGGACCCGAAAGGUGGUGAACUAUGCCUGGGCAGGACGAAGCCAGAGGAAACUCUGGUGGAGGUCCGUAGCGAUUCUGACGUGCAAAUCGAUCGUCGGACCUGGGUAUAGGGGCGAAAGACUAAUCGAACCUCCUAGUAGCUGGUUCCCCCCGAAGUUUCCCUCAGGAUAGCUGGCGCUCGUCUUGACAAAGCAGUCUCAUCCGGUAAAGCGAAUGAUUAGAGGCCUUGGGGUCGAAACGACCUCAACCUAUUCUCAAACUUUCAAUGGGUGAGAAGUCCGGCUUGCUUGAGUGAAGCCCGGACGAAGGAUGCGAGUGCCUAGUGGGCCACUUUUGGUAAGCAGAACUGGCGCUGUGGGAUGAACCAAAAGCCGAGUUACGGCGCCCGAUGCAGACGCUUAUGAGAUCCCAUGAAAGGCGUUGGUUGCUAUAGACAGCAGGACGGUGGCCAUGGAAGUCGGAAUCCGCCAAGGAGUGUGUAACAACUCACCUGCCGAAGCAACUAGCCCUGAAAAUGGAUGGCGCUCCAGCGUCGAGCCUACACUCGGUCGUUGGGACAGAAGCGGCUGGCGGCGGCGGUCUCGUCGUCGUCGUCGCAACCAGGUCCCAACGAGUAGGGGGGUCGCAGCGGUGUGCGCGGAAGGUGCCGGGCGCGAGCCCGUCCCGAGCCGCCGCUGGUGCAGAUCUUGGUGGUAGUAGCAAAUACUCGAGUGAGAAUCUUGAGGGCCGAAGUGGAGAAGGGUUCCAUGUGAACAGCAGUUGAACAUGGGUCAGUCGGUCCUAAGGGAUAGGACAAGUCCGUUCGAAAGCGAGCGUAUGUGAACACUACUAAGCUCGCCGACGACCGAAAGGGAAUCGGGUUAACAUUCCCGAACCCGGAUGCGGAGACCGACCCUUCGGGGUCUCGUGCGGCAACGCAAACCUACUGGGAGACGUCGGCAGGGGUCCCGGGAAGAGUUGUCUUUUCUUCGUAAGGGACUGACUCCCUGGAAUCGGCUUGCCCGGAGAUAGGGACGAGGUUAAGUUCCCGUAAAGCACCGCGGCUCUUGCGGUGUCCGGUGCACCCCUGUCGGCCCUUGAAAAUCCCAGGAGGACGUCGUGAUUUUCGCGCCGGACCGUACCCAUACCGCAG
rnacentral:rRNA from 1 species